GCUUCCUUUAUGCCAUGAGGAAUGAGCCAGGCAGGGUGAACGUUAUCUUUUAUUUUAACCCCAGGGUAACUUAUUACUGAGUGUCAUUCUACUCGGCAUGCUCUUCUAAUAGUGAUUAUGCCAAUAGCUUGAGCAAAUAAGCUGGAAGUUCCUAAGGUUCUUUCUUUGGGAGAAGGUCAUUCACCUCGUCCUGUAAAUGGACCCACUAAAGAGGAGUGUUGGUUUUUUUUUUUUUUCCAGGGGCUGGAGUGAACCUCACCUGUUGAACUGGCCUUCACACAUGACUCAGGAGCAGAAUGAAUCACAGCUCAUAGCGUUCCGAGAGUAGGAGGAAAGGCAGUCGUGUCGCCGUAGUAAGUCGCUGACGGGUGCUCGGAGGAGACGACUUCAGACGCCAGGGCUUAAAGAAGAAAUGUAGCUUCCUCUCUGCUGGGAACUGCGUGUUUCUGGCACCCGUGCGCUGAAGAAACACCAGUGAAGGCGUGAUCCAUCCCAGCGGCACAGGCAAAUAUGAAGUUCUUCUGGCUAAUCCCAUUUUUCCUGCUGCAAGACGCUGCAGCUUUUCUGAUGAAAAAUGCUAAAUUCAAGCUGUGUUUACAAGCCAGCGCGGUGGACGGGAGUUUGCUGCUGGAGGACUGUGAUCCAGAGUCAGGUUUCCAGGACUGGUCUUGGCAAGGAGAUUCUCUGCUGAAUCACGGCACUCAGACCUGCCUCUCCCUGGCGGGGGCCAACGGGGUGCGGACGAGUCUCUGCGACAGCACGAGCUACGUGAGCUGGGACUGCUCGAAUUCGCUGCUCUCUCCUCUGGGUAGCAGCCAGGGCUACCUGGUGGCAAACAAGAAAGGAGUCACCCUCAGUAACUUGAGAAACCUCAAGGCCCAAUGGCAAGAUGUCGCGGACAGGAGCGUCUGCGAGGUGAAAGCGGGUAAGAGCUACAGACCCAGGGAUAGGUGACACACACACACACACACACACACUGCUGGGGAACGUGGAAAGGCACAGUCAGCGUCCUGGGGUCUUUCCAACCCUGCGUGCGCCCAUAAUGGGAUAAACAGUGUGAGCCAGGAACGCUCUCCACUUCUCGGUGCGUGAAAUAAGGCUGUGCCCUCGUGGCUACGUUCUGCCUGGUUGGAGGGACGUGCUGGGCAACCCCGGGGGCCAAGGGGAAGGCCAUUUCUGGCCCGAAGUAUUGCAGUGAGCAACCAUUUCAUCUUUCUGCUCUUUUCCUGCACAGCUGAGGCAGAGCCAGACGGGUACUUCACCGCAGCGCUUGUCAGCACACACACAUAUGACCCCACGGCAGGGAACAUCACCCUUGCGCUGGCUGUGGACGGAAUGGAUCUGGAGCAGCUGCUCUGGUUCUUCCGCAGAGAAGACCGUAAGUCCCAUUGACCUUCCUGGUUUGAGAGUCGAAAUGGAGCUACACAGUCCUGGGCUGUUAACCCUCCUGCCUGAUGGAGAUGCCCAAAGGAAUUACCCCAGGAGGUGGUUUACCCCCAAAAUAUAAACCCUCGUUCUCACCUCCGCAAGAAGGCGGCCACGGGUGAAGACAGGCAUGAGGCUUUGCUGAGAUAGUGUCUCCUCCCAGAGGGGGCGUUCAGCUUCUUUCCGCCUGCCAAGAGAGCAAAGGUCUGGGAUGACCAGUGAUUUUGGCAGGGUGGAGGGAGCAGAUCGAUAUGAGCGGGUCAGCGCUCCGAGGUUCAUCUUCAAAGCCACGAAAAUCAAGGCCGGAGCAUCUGCUGCCGCCUGUGCUGCUGGUGUUCGAGGGCGAAUUCUACCUGCCUGAGCGUGGCAGCAGAGAGGAAAGCUGCAGAGCUGGGGGGAGGCCCUUCUUGCAGUGCCCGUGGUGGGAUGCUGCCCCUCUCAGCCUUGCUCCCACCCCCGGGCACAGCCGCUCUCAGCUCUCCAUGGAUGAAGAGCCAUGAAAGGCAGAUGUGGUGCAGUGUGAGAUACCAGGGGGCUGGGAGAAGCAGAAAGCAGUUGUUUAAGUCAGUCCCUUGCCCAGGAAGGGAGAGUUGGCUGAGAUUAUCCCCAAAAACGUGAGCUGGGUCCUCACCUCUACCCUCAUCCUGCAGCCAAGCCGUGGCACUUCUGAGGUGGGGACCCUCAGAAGAUGCCUGGCUGGGCUCUGCAAGCCAUGCUGCUCCGUGUGGGCUAAUGUUGCCUCUCUGUGCUUUCCUCCAGCCUCAACGUGGAAUUACUCCGUCCUUGCGCUUUCCUUCGUGGCCAUGAUUUUGGGUCUCGUCCUCCUGUCCCUUAACAUUGUGCGAAACAGGUGAGCCGGAAAAAUUUGGGGCUCUUUUGGUUGCAUGGUGGUGCACUGAGACCUGCCCGGGCAGGGGUUUGGGCAGGGCAGGGCAGCACGCUGAGGCGCAGGGCAGGAGCGAGCCCUGGGUGAUGGGGAGAAGAGCAAAGGUAAACUCCCUUUGAACUUCGAAGAGCAAAGGUAAACUCCCUUCAUUGUCAAACCCUGCCUGACUCCCUGCUCUCCUCAUGUGUCACUUGGAACAAGUGGCUUCUCCAGGCCCUGGAUCCUCACUGGUAAAGCAUCUACAACAGCUCUGCCCAGCCCAAGAGGGCUGUUGGGAGGGAAGUGACAUUAAAUGUGUGGGAUGAGGUGCUCUCCCAUAAAGUAAGAGGGAGUAUAGGGGCUCUGGAGCAGGACACCCCAGCCUUUCCCCAUCUGCGUUCCCACAAUGUUCCCCUGGGCCAUACUGCACAGCAGCCCUGCAGCUGGGGAGCAACUCACUGUCUUCUACAGCAAGAAAACUUACAUCUGGGCCGGAGCUUUCAUCUUAAAAUGAGAGAAAAAGAGCUAAUGUUACAAGCCUGCCAUGCUCUCACCUGACCGACGGCUUGCUGGGUGCUGCCUCCUUGCUUUGGGUGCUGUGGUGUUCUCUGAGUGCAAACCCCACGGCUCAAACAUCUCACAGCACUUCACAUGACACAGCGCAGCUGGUGGGCAUCGCCCGGAGGCAGCUGAUGUGUUCCCAGGGGAUGCCAAGAGAUGGAUGGAACCACCACGGCGAGGGGGAUAGGUGUCUGCCCCCCAGGGGCGGCCUGGGCUCGCUGCUUCACUCCUCAAUUCCUUCUUAUGCCUCCCCUGCAGGAAAAGGAAGAUCCACGCGUACGGAGGAGCAGAGCAAAUGGCCCAGCAGGAUGAGCUGGAAGCCAAGCAAGCCCUGAUGCCCGUGCAGGAAUACAGCCCGGCCGAACCGCAAAAGCAGGAGCCGGUGCCCCAGGAUCAUAGAUCAGGAGACGUGAUGGUCCAGUGGAAGGACGGGACCAUCACCUCCUUGUACACAGCGAGGUCUGAGGAUGCCGUGUAACGGCAGCUGACCUCAAACCAUUUAGGCCUUAAGGAAUGUGUCAGAAUGUCUCAAUUCGGAGUGAUGGAAGUUUAAAAAUGCAGUUUAGCCUGGGGAAACAAAAGAGAGAAUAAAAAGAAAGCAGCACUGGACUGGAGGCA
ensembl:lncRNA